AUACGAAGGGUGCAAGCGUUACUCGGAAUCACUGGGCGUAAAGCGUGCGUAGGUGGUUGUUUAAGUCUGUUGUGAAAGCCCUGGGCUCAACCUGGGAACUGCAGUGGAGACUGGAUGACUAGAGUGUGGUAGAGGGUAGCGGAAUUCCCGGUGUAGCAGUGAAAUGCGUAGAGAUCGGGAGGAACAUCCAUGGCGAAGGCAGCUACCUGGACCAACACUGACACUGAGGCACGAAAGCGUGGGGAGCAAACAGGAUUAGAUACCCUGGUAGUCCACGCCCUAAACGAUGCGAACUGGAUGUUGGGUGCAAUUUGGCACGCAGUAUCGAAGCUAACGCAUUAAGCAUUCCGCCUGGGGAGUACGACCGCAAGGUUGAA
rnacentral:rRNA from 1 species